GACGAACGCUGGCGGCGUGCUUAACACAUGCAAGUCGAACGGGCCUUGUCCCCUUUUUUUUUGGGGGUGGGGUUAGUGGCGAACGGGUGAGUAACACGUGAGUAACCUGCCCCUCACUUCUGGAUAACCGCUUGAAAGGGUGGCUAAUACGGGGUGUUCUGGCCUGCUCGCAUGGGUGGGUUUGGAAAGAUUCGACCGGUUUUGGUUGUUUUGGUGGGGGAUGGGCUCGCGGCCUAUCAGCGUGUUGGUGGGGUGAUGGCCUGCCAAGGCUUUGACGGGUAGCCGGCCUGAGAGGGUGGGCGGUCACACUGGGACUGAGACACGGCCCAGACUCCUACGGGAGGCAGCAGUGGGGAAUAUUGCACAAUGGGCGCAAGCCUGAUGCAGCGACGCCGCGUGAGGGAUGGAGGCCUUCGGGUUGUGAACCUCUUUCGCCAGUGAAGAAGGUCCUGCUCUUUGUGGUGGGGUUGACGGUAGCUGGGUUAAUGAAGCGCCGGCUAACUACGUG
rnacentral:rRNA from 1 species